AGAGUUUGAUCCUGGCUCAGGAUGAACGCUGGCGGCGUGCUUAACACAUGCAAGUCGAACGAAGCACUUUUAUUUGAUUUCUUCGGAAUGAAGAUUUUAGUGACUGAGUGGCGGACGGGUGAGUAACGCGUGGGUAACCUGCCUCAUACAGGGGGAUAACAGUUAGAAAUGACUGCUAAUACCGCAUAAGACCACAGCACCGCAUGGUGCAGGGGUAAAAACUCCGGUGGUAUGAGAUGGACCCGCGUCUGAUUAGGUAGUUGGUGGGGUAACGGCCUACCAAGCCGACGAUCAGUAGCCGACCUGAGAGGGUGACCGGCCACAUUGGGACUGAGACACGGCCCAAACUCCUACGGGAGGCAGCAGUGGGGAAUAUUGCACAAUGGGGGAAACCCUGAUGCAGCGACGCCGCGUGAAGGAAGAAGUAUCUCGGUAUGUAAACUUCUAUCAGCAGGGAAGAUAGUGACGGUACCUGACUAAGAAGCCCCGGCUAACUACGUGCCAGCAGCCGCGGUAAUACGUAGGGGGCAAGCGUUAUCCGGAUUUACUGGGUGUAAAGGGAGCGUAGACGGUGUGGCAAGUCUGAUGUGAAAGGCAUGGGCUCAACCUGUGGACUGCAUUGGAAACUGUCAUACUUGAGUGCCGGAGGGGUAAGCGGAAUUCCUAGUGUAGCGGUGAAAUGCGUAGAUAUUAGGAGGAACACCAGUGGCGAAGGCGGCUUACUGGACGGUAACUGACGUUGAGGCUCGAAAGCGUGGGGAGCAAACAGGAUUAGAUACCCUGGUAGUCCACGCCGUAAACGA
rnacentral:rRNA from 1 species